GACCCGUGCACUGCCGAGCAAACCGGGCCGCCGCCUCUGCGCCCCUCAUUUCAAAUCAAGAUGGCGGCAAUGAACCGAGCUAUAAAUUCCGGGAGAGGUUAAAAAAAAACCCGGUAGCAUUGGAAGGUCGUGGUCAGAGAUGGUCCCCACCGCCAAAUAUCCCGGGUACUUGAGACACAAUUGACUGUUGGCCCGACUGUCGUCUCGACGGGAGGAUCGAUUAGCUCAGCCUGCUGGAUGACUGAUCUCAGCAUCGUCGGCUUAAUUCUUGAAAAAUCUGAGUUUACCAUUGCUUUGCAACGUCCCCAUUUGCCAGAUUCGCGGCGACCCCCUUAUUUAAGUGAGCAGCCUGAAACUCCAGUUGGACUAUGGCGACUUUGCCUUUUUAUUGAGUCAGUCUUGUUGUUAUGCAAUAUAGAAUGGAGCCGAGGGAAAACAAAACACUUAAAUAAAAUAAAGAACUGCAGAUGCUGGAACUCUGAAACAAAAAGCUGAUGAAUGUGGGACUUUUUUUGUCCUCGCUGUUUAACUGGUUAAACUGUUCUCCAUUUAUCUCAAAGCUAUGUCGGUCAUGAUGAAUUUAAGUGACUUUGUCAUAUCUUAAUGUAAUGAUUUGAGAUAAACGUCUGUAAACUUUCACUUUCAAAUAAAAGGAGUUUGCAAAUGACA